rnacentral:rRNA from 1 species
UACGUAGGGGGCAAGCGUUGUCCGGAAUCACUGGGCGUAAAGGGUGCGUAGGCGGGUCUUUAAGUCAGGGGUGAAAUCCUGGAGCUCAACUCCAGAACUGCCUUUGAUACUGGGAGUCUUGAGUUCGGGAGAGGUGAGUGGAACUGCGAGUGUAGAGGUGAAAUUCGUAGAUAUUCGCAAGAACACCAGUGGCGAAGGCGGCUCACUGGCCCGAUACUGACGCUGAGGUGCGAAAGCGUGGGGAGCAAACAGG